rnacentral:rRNA from 1 species
AUUAAACGCUGGCGGCAUGCCUUACACAUGCAAGUCGAACGGCAGCACGGGGGGAACCCUGGUGGCGAGUGGCGAACGGGUGAGUAAAGCAUCGGAACGUGCCCUGGAGUGGGGGAUAACGUAGCGAAAGUUACGCUAAUACCGCAUAUUCUGUGAGCAGGAAAGCAGGGGAUCGCAAGACCUUGCGCUCUGGGAGCGGCCGAUGUCGGAUUAGCUAGUUGGUGGGUAAAGCCUACCAAGGCGACGAUCCGUAGCGGGUCUGAGAGGAUGAUCCGCCACACUGGGACUGAGACACGGCCCAGACUCCUACGGGAGGCAGCAGUGGGGAAUUUUGGACAAUGGGCGCAAGCCUGAUCCAGCAAUGCCGCGUGCAGGAAGAAGGCC